ensembl:lncRNA
GUGGGUGAAUGGGGUGGAGGGUAGCGGGUGGAGGAGUUUUGGACGGGUGCACAAGGGAGUUGGGAAAUAGGGAGGGUGGGAUUGUGGGUGGUUGAAUAGGAGAGCUGGAGGGAAAGGGGAGGAGCAGGAGAGUCGGAGGGAAAGGGGAGGAGCAGGAGAGUCGGAGGGAAAGGGGAGGAGCAGGAGAGUCGGAGGGAAAGGGGAGGUGCAGGAGAGUCGGAGGGAAAGGGGAGGAGCAGGAGAGCUGGAGGGAAAGCUCAUUGGAGACUCACUCAAGGGAAUAGAAAAUAGGAAUCCGACUCCACUGAUUUUAUACUUGCAGCCGUCUGUCAGUAUGGGGUUUUGUAGUGAAGAAUGUGACCUGAUUAAUUUCAUUAUUUUGACAAUGUCACUAUUGUUUAACUGGCUCAUAAAAAACAUAACCCCUCAAUUUUCUAAAUCCGAAACACACUUCGGCCGGGCCGUCCUUCCAGACCGUCUGUUGUUCCACAAACAGCAUGGGUUUUAAAAAACCCUUUCCAGAAAAUCAUUUAGAGACAAUCAGCAUGACAGAAACUGAUCACGGGCCAGAGAGAAGAGGUUAGUAAUGGAGCCAAUAUGCUAUGCUAGUAGCCUUGUCAUUUUUGAUCUUUUGUAGGCUGGUAUUCAAUAGGCAAAAACCGAGCGAAAAAUGGUCUUCAGCGCUAAAACUGAAAAUAUAUAUCUAAUGUAACCACAUUUACAUGAAUUUGAUGAUUUAAUCAUCGAGUCCAUUCAAAACACCAGGGGCAUUAACAGGGAAGUAUGACGUAGGAACGAGUCACUUGCAUUGCUAAUAAUGGGAGGUAAAACAGAGGUGGAAGUGGGGGAGCAGGCAGGAGGUGUAGAGGUGAGCAGUGAAAACGGGAAGGCAGUGAACUGCUCACAAGAUAAGAGACAAAAAUGUUUUCUUCUUAAACUCAGAGUCUUGGUUGGCCCUGAGGAUAUCUGGGGAAUUACAACAAACAUCUCCACAUAGUUUAGAUCCCCAUCUCAGGAGGAGCGGAGAGAAAGAACAAG